rnacentral:lncRNA from 1 species
UGCGCUCCCACCCCUCCUCCCGGUCUUCACUGAAGCUCCUUUCAGCGAAGGUAGGAGUGGGCUGGACGGCCAGGAACUCAGAGCUGCUGUAGACCUGGGAGGCAAGACAAAAGAAUGUGGCUCCCCUCGGGACCCGGGCCCACCUUGCUGAACCGGUGGGAGCAGGAGGAGAACUGGGGGAUCUCUGUGGACGAUUCUUCAUCAUUGGUCUCGUCGUCCUCGGAGCCCAGAUGGCGGUAACGUUCCGAGACUCGUGAAACUGCACCAUCUCUGAGCCAUGGAUAAGAUGAACUUUGUGGA